ACAGAGGCAAUCAUUCUUUACAAAUGACUGGAGAUUGUGUAACGCAACCAUGAUAUACGAUUUGCUGUAAAGUAAUUACGUAGGACUACAAACAGAAUGUAAUAUUGAUCGAUUGAUUACUAAUAUUGUGUUUCGCAUUUAUUUCGAACAUAUCGCACGUGCGACAUUGAAUUCCGAUUGCAGAUUUUUAAACUAUUCGGUAAUUGAUAAUUAAUUUAGCUCGCAUGAUACACUUCGCGACUGAUCGGGCUGAAGUGCUGUCCUCAAGAUUUUCAAUCGGUAACUCACGUCGCGUGAUAGAAUGGGUUGACUCCGAGGUUGACUCCAAAACAAACAGCAUCACGAUGCGUUUAAAUGAGUAAUUACAAACAUACUUAAUGUCGCACCUCAAUAUUUAUCAAUCUUAACAGAAGUUCAGCAUUUGUAUGCUUUAUUAAAUUAAUAUGUUCGAACUAUACGUGCAAACACACACACACACUCUCCCCCCCCCCCCCACACACGCACGAGUCGAAAAUAAUUUCAUUAUACGUAGACAUUUAUUGUAUCUAAUUCAACUUAUACGCUCAUUUAUUUACGUUUUGACAUAAUCGCGUGAGAUAAUAAUCGCGCCGUAGGCAAUAAAACGCGGAUUGUCUGUUAUUCAAUAAUUGAGAGGUGCCGACAGUGCUACAAAAGGAACAUUGGGGCGGAUGCCGCGUGAAGUUGGCCGCGGAUUUUUACAAACUCGUUACGCCAUCUCAGGCCCGUCCGCCGCUUUACUUUGCACGACGUCGCGGGCAUCAAACGUAUAGUCGUAGCAUAUAUCGUCCGCUCGUAUUUUCUUCGUCACUUUUCCGUCGAAAUGCGGUACACACAGCGUACGUCGUGUUUGUACAAUAUGUGUUAUAUUAACAUUAACCUCGGGAGUGCCGUGCAAAGUUUCGCACGAGUAUUGUAUUCCGAUGAUGAUUAUCGCGCGCGAUCCUAACCAUGUUACUCGCGAUCGAGUUUAGGCGGGAGUUACACCUGUUGUGUAAAGCGUCUCGUGCGAUUGUCUUUUAGUAAUCAGUAGUGAUCGUAAUUAGUACGUGUUUCGCGAGUGAGUAUUGUGCAAGUGCCAUCAUGGAAGGAGCAACUCAAUGAAGGGCAUGGGAGAAGGAGACCUGGGAGGUAUCGGGUAUCGGCGGAGAAGCCAGUGAGUUAACAUUUGUGUUACAAUUCCGCUGCUACACAUCGAUCGUCGCAUCUGUUUACACAAGAGACGGGGAGAGACGGGGAGAGACCGGGAGAGACCGGGAAAGACGGGGAGAGACCGGGAGAGAUGGGGAAAGACGGGGAGAGACCGGGAGAGAUCGGGAG